rnacentral:rRNA from 1 species
UACGUAGGGUGCAAGCGUUGUCCGGAAUUAUUGGGCGUAAAGAGCUCGUAGGCGGUCUGUCACGUCGGCUGUGAAAUCCCGAGGCUCAACCUCGAACUUGCGGUGGGUACGGGCAGACUAGAGUGCGGUAGGGGAGACUGGAAUUCCUGGUGUAGCGGUGAAAUGCGCAGAUAUCAGGAGGAACACCGGUGGCGAAGGCGGGUCUCUGGGCCGUAACUGACGCUGAGGAGCGAAAGCAUGGGGAGCGAACAGG